CCCCGUUUUUGUACGGCCGACUACUGGCGCCUUGUCCUGGCUGUUUUGUGGCUUCUGUUACUGUUACGUUUCAAGUGUGUGCAUGCUUGUACCUGAAUCACGGGUAGUGGUGCUUUAAAUUCGGUUGCCGCGCGGUGGACGCCUUUGGGUGUGCUGCUGCGGCCAAAUUGCGAUUGCGGCGUUUCCUUGUUUUUCCGGCAUGUUAACUCUGCCUGUGCUAACAAGCCAACCUCGCUUCGCUGUUGGUCUCGGAUGUUGCCUACGUUAAGAUCUCUUGGCCCAUUUCGGUUGCCUUGACUCGACCCUAGGAAGCUCUCCGAAUUGAGAACAACCGGAACAGGUGUUGCCUCUACCUCUCCACGGUUAGUGGUAGGAUUACGCAACAUUCUGCGCCGAUCCUCAAACAAGUAGGAACGAGCUUAGCCCUCUACGACAAACCAGCCCGGCCGACAACCCCGUCUAGACACGCAAGUGGAUGGGCGGAUAAACACCGGCGCUGGACGUCAAA
rnacentral:misc_RNA from 1 species